rnacentral:snoRNA from 1 species
ACCCUCCAGUUCCCUUUCCCAUCAGAUCUGAACACUGGUCUUGGUGGUCGUAAAAGGAGGAAAAGUAAUACUGAAGCUGGCCUCGCAGUCUUGUAGUUUGGUAUAUAGCAUGUGGGCUAGUUUCAAACAAGG